AUUGAACGCUGGCGGCAGGCCUAACACAUGCAAGUCGAGCGGAGCGGCGGACGGGUGAGUAAUGACUAGGAAUCUGCCUGGUAGUGGGGGAUAAGGUCAGGAAACGGGCGCUAAUACAGCAUACUAUCAGAUGAGCCUAGGGAGGAUUCGCUAGUGGGUGGGGUAAAGGCUUACCAAGGCGAGGACCCUUAACUGGUCUGGGAGGAUGAGCAGUCACACUGUAACUGAGACACGGUCCAUACUCCUACGGGAGGCAGCAGUGGUGAAUAUUGGACAAUGGGCGAAAGCCUGAUCCAGCCAUGCCGCGUGUGUGAAGAAGGUCUUCGGAUUGUAAAGCACUUUAAGUUGGGAGGCGUUACCAACAGAAUAAGCACCGGCUAACUUCGUGCCAGCAGCCGCGGUAAUUC
rnacentral:rRNA from 1 species